GCGGGCGGGGCGCGAGCAGUGCCGGGAAAACCCGGCGUGGAGCCGCCGCCGGAACGGGACUGCGGCCAUGGCGCCUCAGCAAACCCACCUCGGAGACUUGCCCGUGUUUAAAGAUUUAUCUCAGAGCCUUACGUUUUAUUCAGGGCUUUAGACAUGAGGACACAACCCCGCUGGGACGGGCAGAGCACAUUCUGGCAGAUCUCUGCUGCGCUCAGUUGGCUCCUGUGCCAUCCCAGUCAAACUGCACAGCAAUUCCAGGCCAUGGCUGAGAACAAAACGGGGCUUUGUCUGCAAGACUCAGGAGACGCCAUUCAGUCCAAUCCGCCUACAAAAUCCUUCAUUUGCCAGCACCCAAAGAAAAUGGAAGGGACACAGAUAACACCCAGGACUGCUCACCAGCAGGAACAGAGCAGAGGCCCAGCAACAGCUUUGUGAUUAGUUUGAGGGAAACCGCCUGUGUCUGGCUGACACAUGGAGCUGUUACAGGAGGGGAACGCUCUGGGGAGCUCCUUGGCCUCUGCUGCCUCGUGUUUGUACCAACACUCAUCACAGCAGCAGUGAUAAUAAUCUCAAACACUUGGGUCGUUUAGACGGGGAA